CAAAGAAGAGCAAAACAAAACGAACAAAACAAAGGUUGUGAAAUUAGCAUCUCCACCAGCAGCAACUCCGUACUCGCUGCAUCAAGUUUUUUUGCGAAAAUGUAUAAUUGUGCUUGCCGAAUCCGUUUGUGGCAUAUCCGCUGUGGCAAGUGUAACGGCCCCCGCGGGAGCGCGGACAUCUGAAGCACCGGUUCUCACCCAAAACGAGUUGGCCGCCUCUUCCAUUUCAACAACAUCGAAACAUCGCUAUCUAUUUUAAACCUGAUCGAACUUAGGGGGAGGCGAACACCCACCGCGGUGGCACCAUGCUGCACCUGCUGGAGGUCGAGCAGCCGGCCUCGAAUGUGCUAUGACUAGGACGAGGACGAGCAUGGACAUUGUUUGUCAUGUCGAAAGCGACCGAAGAAGAUGGGCGGACUGGAGAAGUUGGAUUGUGAUGAGAUCACAUAUUUUCGUCCCGGAAGUGGAUUCCUUCACGGAGAUGUUUAUCAAUGCUGUCCAGGCCAACAUGGAGGGCAAGAACCGCUGAAGUUGGGCACGACGAGUUGAUCUGCAUCAGGUGUGUGAUUUCUGUUGCGAAAAAAUGGAACGCUCGACGCUGGGAACUGUGCGUGGCCAAGUGAGUGUUCGAAGGCAAAAUGUGACUGGAAGGAGCAGCAUCAAGACCAUCAACUCUGCCAGAGACCCCAUCGAUCUCAUGGCAACAAUUUCAACUAAAUCAGCUGAUCUGAUCGUAACAAUCGGUCGAGAUUGAAUUCUACAGAUCCAGUUUAAGCAAAUAUGGAAGCGGCCACAAUGGUUCGAAGAAGGAGGCACCAGUCUUUGGCAAGAAUCUGUGCGGCGCGAGGUCACGCGAUCACAAGCUUUGUAGGGUUGGAUUUUCAAAACGUCGGUGAGGAUCGACAGAUGCUAUCAGAUCCAGUAAACCAAGAUUUAGCCGUUUGGACACUAGUGCUCAUGCCUGCUGGUUGAUUAGAAUAAGAC